AUGGCUAGGCAGAGGAAACAUUCUUUGUUCUUUGUUUUCAACAUGUUCAAAUCUAACAAGAAGGAUAAAAGAGGGACUAAAAAUAGUGAUAAUGGAUUUGAAGGUGUUGGGAGUAAAGUGUGGCAUAUUAGUGAUUAUGAUGACAAAGAAAGAUGGGGUGCAGCUGAUCCAUAUAUUAACAAGAAAGCUGGUGAAUUCAUUCAUCGACAGAAGAUCAAACUAGUUUCUGAUAUUAAUUAUGCAAAGAUUUUAAUCACUGAAAGGAAAAAGAAAAGCAAAAGUUUUGAUAAAGGAAGGAAGGAAGAGCAUAAAAAGUUUUGA